GAGGAAUAUUGCUCAAUAGGUGCAAGCCUGAACCCGCCAUCCCGCGUGAAGGACGACAGCCCUGUGGGUUGUAAACUUCUUUUGGAUAGGGAUAAACCUACCCUCGUGAGGGUAGCUGAAGGUACUACACGACUAAGCACCGGCUAACUCCGUGCCAGCAGCCGCGGUAAUACGGGGGGUGCAGCGUUAUCCGGAUUUAUUGGGUUUAAAGGGUCCGUAGGCGGACUUAUAAGUCAGUGGUGAAAGCCUGUCGCUUAACGAUAGAACUGUCAUUGAUACUGUAAGUUUUGAGUAUAUUUGAGGUAGCUGGAAUAAGUAGUGUAGCGGUGAAAUGCAUAGAUAUUACUUAGAACACCAAUUGCGAAGGCAGGAUACCAAGAUAUAACUGACGCUGAGGGACGAAAGCGUGGGGAGCGAACA
rnacentral:rRNA from 1 species